AUAGGAUCUAGACCUGGCAUAUCUUCAUAGGACCAUGCAAAAAUAUCCGGAUAUUCCCGGAGGAGCUGGACAAUCUUCUGUUUAACCCCUUCCUCUAGAGUAGCACCAACCUUGAUUUCUCGCUUGUUUUCCUCGGUACCUAUGUUGAUAAGCUCAAUCUCUUCCUGG
rnacentral:pre_miRNA from 1 species